ensembl:lncRNA
AGGUUUGUGCAUCAAAACCCAAUAUCUACUGUCCAAUCUACUCUCAAAACAUUUCUGCAAUAUGCUACAUGUGAAACUUCCUUGUCCGAUAUUUCAUUCUCUAUGCCAUGAACUGUUUUUAUGAAGAGGCACAUAACCGAUAAAAAGGUUUGUGCAUCAAAACCCAAUAUCUACAGUCCACAACUAUCAAAAGAUUUCUGCAAUACGCUACAUGUGAAACUUCCUCCUUAUGCUUUAUUUGAUUCUCCACUCCAUGAACUGUUUUUAUGAAGCAGCACAAAACCAAUAAAAAGGUUUGUGCAUCAAAACUCAAUCUCUACUGUCCACUACUCGCAAAAGAUUUCUGCAAAACGCUACACUUCAAACUUCCUUCUCCAUUAUAUGAUUCUCCACUCCAUGAACUUUCUAUGAAGCAGCACAAAACCGAUUAAAAAGGUUUGUGCAUCAAAACUCAAUAUCUACUGUCCACUACUCCCAAAAGGUUUCUGCAAUGCGCUACACUUCAAACUUCCUUCUCCAUUAUGAUUCUCCAGUCCAUGAACUGUUUUUAUGAAGCACACAACCGAUAAAAAUAAAAGUGAAUACAAAACCAUUGUUCAAAUAUCUUCAGAAAAUGUCCCAGCAAAACUCUAAACUGAUGCAGGCAUUCAAUAGUCAAAGUUAUUAAACAAAUGAAUAACCGCAAAAGUAACACAAUUAUAUAUUAAAUAUUGGAUGGAUGGCUUGUAUUAUAUUAAAGGCUAUGUACAGCAAAUUUAGAUGCCAGCCAAAGGAGGAUGGCUUGCCCCUGCUGAGUCUGGUUCCUCCCAAGGUUUCUCCCUAUACCUCUCUGCUGAUGAUGCUUCUCUUCACUAAUUUAGGGAGUUUUUCCUUGCCACUGUUGCCUUCUGGCUUGCUCACUGGGGUAUUAAGGCACAAUAUU